rnacentral:rRNA from 1 species
AGGGGGGUUGCGGUCACACCCGCUCGCAGCGAGCGGGAAGAGCUCAAAUUUGAAAGCUGGCGUCCUACGGGCGUCCGCAUUGUAAUCUAUAGAGGCGUUUUCUGUGCUGGACCGUGUCCAAGUCCCUGGAACAGGGUAUCAAAGAGGGUGACAAUCCCGUACUUGACACGACAACCAGUGCUCUGUGAUACGUCUUCUACGAGUCGAGUUGUUUGGGAAUGCAGCUCAAAAUGGGUGGUGAAUUCCAUCUAAAGUAAAUAUUGGCGAGAGACCGAUAGCGAACAAGUACCGUGAGGGAAAGAUGAAAAGCACUUUGGAAAGAGAGUUAAACAGUAUGUGAAAUUGUUGAAAGGGAAACGAUGGAGGUCAGUCGUGUCUGUGGAUUCAGCCGUCUCUGGCGGUGUACUUCCCACAGACGGGUCAACAUCAGUUUUGGCUGGCGGAUAAAGGCAGGAGGAAGGUGGCACCCCCGGGUGUGUUAUAGCCUCUUGUUGCAUACGCUGGCUGAACUGAGGAAUGCAGCUCGCCUUUAUGGCCGGGGUUCGCCCACGUUCGAGCUUAGGAUGUUGACAUAAUGGCCUUCAACGACCCGUCUUGAAACCACGGACCACUGCAUACCUUUUUGCGGAGGAAAGAUUCUGUCUUUUUUUUUAAAAAAAAAAACAUUUUUUUUUUUAAGAAAAAAAAAAUCUUUUUUUUUUUUUUAAAAAAAAACACGUUUUUUUUUUGUAUAAAAAAAAUACUUUUCUCUUUUAUGAGGAGAGACGCUCUCUAUUCAUAUAGAGAGAGAGCUGUCUGUUAUACAAAAGAGAGUCGUGUGCGUAUAGAGUACAU